rnacentral:rRNA from 1 species
GACGAACGCCGGCGGCGUGCCUAAUACAUGCAAGUGGGACGCAAGGGAACACACUGUGCUUGCACACCGUGUUUUCUUGAGUCGCGAACGGGUGAGUAACGCGUAGGUAACCUGCCUAUUAGCGGGGGAUAACUAUUGGAAACGAUAGCUAAUACCGCAUAAUAUUAAUUAUUGCAUGAUAAUUGAUUGAAAGAUGCAAGCGCAUCACUAGUAGAUGGACCUGCGUUGUAUUAGCUAGUUGGUAAGGUAAGAGCUUACCAAGGCGACGAUACAUAGCCGACCUGAGAGGGUGAUCGGCCACACUGGGACUGAGACACGGCCCAGACUCCUACGGGAGGCAGCAGUAGGGAAUCUUCGGCAAUGGACGAAAGUCUGACCGAGCAACGCCGCGUGAGUGAAGAAGGUUUUCGGAUCGUAAAGCUCUGUUGUAAGUCAA